UACAGAGGUCUCAAGCGUUGUUCGGAUUCAUUGGGCGUAAAGGGUGCGUAGGCGGCGCGGUAAGUUGGAUGUGAAAUCUCGGGGCUUAACUCCGAAACUGCAUUCGAUACUGCCGUGCUUGAGGACUGGAGAGGAGACUGGAAUUUACGGUGUAGCGGUGAAAUGCGUAGAUAUCGUAAGGAAGACCAGUGGCGAAGGCGGGUCUCUGGACAGUUCCUGACGCUGAGGCACGAAGGCCAGGGGAGCAAACGGG
rnacentral:rRNA from 1 species